GCUCCUGGUGGCGAGUGGCGAACGGGUGAGUAAUAUAUCGGAACGUACCCUAUAGUGGGGGAUAACGCAGCGAAAGUUGCGCUAAUACCGCAUACGAUCUACGGAUGAAAGUGGGGGAUCGCAAGACCUCAUGCUCAUGGAGCGGCCGAUAUCUGAUUAGCUAGUUGGUGGGGUAAAGGCCUACCAAGGCAUCGAUCAGUAGCUGGUCUGAGAGGACGACCAGCCACACUGGAACUGAGACACGGUCCAGACUCCUACGGGAGGCAGCAGUGGGGAAUUUUGGACAAUGGGGGCAACCCUGAUCCAGCAAUGCCGCGUGAGUGAAGAAGGCCUUCGGGUUGUAAAGCUCUUUUGUCAGGGAAGAAACGGUGAGGGCUAAUAUCCUUUGCUAAUGACGGUACCUGAAGAAUAA
rnacentral:rRNA from 1 species